rnacentral:rRNA from 1 species
AACAGGAUUAGAUACCCUGGUAGUCCACGCCGUAAACGAUGCUAACUCGUUUUUGGGUUUCCGGAUUCAGAGACUAAGCGAAAGUGAUAAGUUAGCCACCUGGGGAGUACGUUCGCAAGAAUGAAACUCAAAGGAAUUGACGGGGGCCCGCACAAGCGGUGGAUUAUGUGGUUUAAUUCGAUGAUACGCGAGGAACCUUACCAAGGCUUAAAUGGGAAUUGAUGGGUUUAGAAAUAGACCGUCCUUCGGGCAAUUUUCAAGGUGCUGCAUGGUUGUCGUCAGCUCGUGCCGUGAGGUGUUAGGUUAAGUCCUGCAACGAGCGCAACCCCUGUUACUAGUUGCUACCAUUAAGUUGAGGACUCUAGUAAGACUGCCUACGCAAGUAGAGAGGAAGGUGGGGAUGACGUCAAAUCAUCACGGCCCUUACGCCUUGGGCCACACACGUAAUACAAUGGCCGGUACAGAGGGCAGCUACCUAGCGAUAGGAUGCGAAUCUCGAAAGCCGGUCUCAGUUCGGAUUGGAGUCUGCAACUCGACUCUAUGAAGCUGGAAUCGCUAGUAAUCGCGCAUCAGCCAUGGCGCGGUGAAUACGUUCCCGGGCCUUGUACACACCGCCCGUCAAGCCAUGGAAGUCUGGGGUACCUGAAGUCGGUGACCGUAAAAGGAGCUGCCUAGGGUAAAACAGGUAACUAGGGCUAAGUCGUAACAAGGUAACC